GGAAAUAACUCUAUAUUUUCAUUGGUAUAGUUUUGAAAUACUACUAAAUGACUUGAAAUGACUUUAGCUCUGCCAGAGAAAAAUGUCAUUCCUAAUUCCAGACCAAAGUUAAAUGUCAUUCUUAUUCCAGGCCAGAGUAAAAUGUAAUUCCUAAUUCCACACCAAAGUUAAAUGUCAUUCUUAUUCCAGGCCAGAGUAAAAUGUAAUUCCUAAUUCCACACCAAAGUUAAAUGUCAUUCUUAUUCCAGGCCAGAGUAAAAUGUCAUUCCUAAUUCAAGAAAAAAGAGGAAGGGAAGAAAAAUGACAUUAGAUUGUGUCUUUGAAAAAAAGCAGAAUGUAAAUAUGAAAUAAAAAACGGACACAAAAUGACCAAAAGAAAAACGCCAAUCAAAAACAUUGUAGGUAAACUGAAGAAUAAACACAAAUCCAACAUAAAAUCCAAAUUAAACUCGGAUGCUACAGAAGGGUUUCCAGAUCAUUUAAUUUUACACCUAGUAAGGCUAGUUAUGAAUUACUGAUUGAUUGUUGGUUGAUUAACGUCCAAAUUUCAAAUAUUGGAUGGUCACAGAAAUUAAGCCAUGCGACAUGCCACCUGAUGAAUGUGGACAUGCAGUAUAAGUGAUGGAUUUAGGUAAAAGUAGAGUCACAAACAGUUAUAGCGGAUGCUGGGAGGCAAUGUAAGCGAUGAAUUCAAGUAAAAAUAAAGCAGUUAUAAAAUAGUAAAUACAGGCGACACAAUAGCUUCUAGAAGUGCUAAACGACAUAGUGUUUUACUGUUUUACAUUGGAUAGUUACUUUAGUGUAUUAAAAACUGAAAUAAAGUAGAUAAAUG
rnacentral:lncRNA from 1 species